UACGUAGGGAGCAAGCGUUGUCCGGAAUCAUUGGGCGUAAAGCGCGCGUAGGCGGCUUCGUAAGUCCGUUGUGAAAGUCAAAGGCUCAACCUUUGAAAGCCGAUGGAUACUGCGGAGCUAGAGUACGGAAGAGGCGAGUGGAAUUCCUGGUGUAGCGGUGGAAUGCGCAGAUAUCAGGAGGAACACCAAUAGCGAAGGCAGCUCGCUGGGACGUUACUGACACUGAGGCGCGAAAGCGUGGGGAGCGAACAGG
rnacentral:rRNA from 1 species